rnacentral:rRNA from 1 species
AUCUCAGUUCGGAUUGCAGGCUGCAACUCGCCUGCAUGAAGCUGGAAUUGCUAGUAAUCGCGGAUCAGCAAGCCGCGGUGAAUACGUUCCCGGGCCUUGUACACACCGCCCGUCACACCAUGAGAGUCGGGAACACCCGAAGUCCGUAGUCUAACCGCAAGGGGGGCGCUGCCGAAGGUGGGAUUGGUGACUGGGGUGAAGUCGUAACAAGGUAUC